GAGUUUGAUCGUGGCUCAGAAUGAACGCUGGCGGCAUGCCUAACACAUGCAAGUCGAACGAAGGCUUCGGCCUUAGUGGCGCACGGGUGCGUAACGCGUGGGAAUCUGCCCUCAGGUUCGGAAUAACGGCGAGAAAUUGCUGCUAAUACCGGAUGAUAUCGCGAGAUCAAAGAUUUAUCGCCUGAGGAUGAGCCCGCGUAGGAUUAGCUAGUUGGUGUGGUAAAGGCGCACCAAGGCGACGAUCCUUAGCUGGUCUGAGAGGAUGAUCAGCCACACUGGGACUGAGACACGGCCCAGACUCCUACGGGAGGCAGCAGUGGGGAAUAUUGGACAAUGGGCGAAAGCCUGAUCCAGCAAUGCCGCGUGAGUGAUGAAGGCCUUAGGGUUGUAAAGCUCUUUUACUCGGGAUGAUAAUGACAGUACCGGGAGAAUAAGCUCCGGCUAACUCCGUGCCAGCAGCAGCCGCGGUAAC
rnacentral:rRNA from 1 species